GGUUAAGCGACUAAGCGUACACGGUGGAUGCCCUGGCAGUCAGAGGCGAUGAAGGACGUGCUAAUCUGCGAAAAGCGUCGGUAAGGUGAUAUGAACCGUUACAGCCGGCGAUGUCCGAAUGGGGAAACCCAGUGCAAUUCGUUGCACUAUCGUUAACUGAAUACAUAGGUUAACGAGGCGAACCGGGGGAACUGAAACAUCUAAGUACCCCGA
rnacentral:rRNA from 1 species